rnacentral:rRNA from 1 species
AUUGAACGCUGGCGGCAGGCCUAACACAUGCAAGUCGAGCGCGAGGGGCACGGGGGAGUGAAAUAUGGGGGUAUGCCCGAUAGAGGGGGGUAAAUAUUGGAAAAGGUAGCUCAUACACCAUACUAUAGCAUGAACCCCCAUGGGAUGAGCUAGAAGGUGGGGUAAAGGCUCACCUAGGCGACGAUCCCAAGCUGGUCUGAGAGGAUGUUCAGCCACACUGGAACUGAGACACGGCCCAGACUCCUACGGGAGGCAGCAGUGGGGAAUAUUGCACAAUGGGCGCAAGCCUGAUGCAGCCAUGACGCGUGUAUGAAGAAGGCCCUAGGGUUGUAAAGUACUUUCAGUCGGGAGGCGUUACCGACAGAAGAAGCACCGGCUAACUACGUGCCAGCAGCCGCGGUAAUUC